CUGAGUUUCUGGGCGUCUCUUGGGAGCCAUCGCGUCUUCCGUGCGAAGGGGGACUGCGCCCUAUGCAGAGAUCAUGGAGGAAGGAUUGAGAAGCUUCUGUGGAAAAACAAGGCGGAGAUCAGGGAGCCCUCGGGGCCACAGGCAACGGGGAGAUUGUGAGCUUUGAAGCCCAGCCCAGGGCUGGAGGAAAGAAACACUUCUGCAUCAGGUAUAAAAGACUGGAGAAGGCUGAGGGGGUUGGUGUGCUGCUGCCUGACGGCAACUGUUGACAGCAUACCCUUUUGCAAAAGAAUAAAUGCCUUGCUUCAACUCCUUAU